rnacentral:tRNA from 1 species
ACCUGGGUGGCUCAGUCAGUUGAGCAUCUGACUUGAGCUCAGAUCAUUGUCUCACAGUUGGUGGGUUUGAGCCCUGCUUUGGGCU